rnacentral:rRNA from 1 species
AGUCGAGGGGUAUAGGUUUUCGGACCUAGAGACCGGCGCACGGGUGCGUAACGCGUAUGCAAUCUACCUUUUACAGAGGGAUAGCCCAGAGAAAUUUGGAUUAAUACCUCAUAGUAUUAUUGAAUGGCAUCAUUUAAUAAUUAAAGUCACAACGGUAAAAGAUGAGCAUGCGUCCCAUUAGCUUGUUGGUAAGGUAACGGCUUACCAAGGCAACGAUGGGUAGGGGUCCUGAGAGGGAGAUCCCCCACACUGGUACUGAGACACGGACCAGACUCCUACGGGAGGCAGCAGUGAGGAAUAUUGGUCAAUGGGCGCAAGCCUGAACCAGCCAUGCCGCGUGCAGGAUGAAGCAUCUAUGGUGUGUAAACUGCUUUUGUACGAGAAGAAACACUCCUACGUGUAGGAGCUUGACGGUAUCGUAAGAAUAAGGACCGGCUAACUCCGUGCCAGCAGCCGCGGUAAUACGGAGGGUCCAAGCGUUAUCCGGAAUCAUUGGGUUUAAAGGGUCCGUAGGCGGUUUUGUAAGUCAGUGGUGAAAGCCCAUCGCUCAACGGUGGAACGGCCAUUGAUACUGCAAGACUUGAAUUAUUGGGAAGUAACUAGAAUAUGUAGUGUAGCGGUGAAAUGCUUAGAGAUUACAUGGAAUACCA